rnacentral:lncRNA from 1 species
AUACAUAUUGCAUAGCAUCAUUAAAGCAUUUAGUAAAGCAUCAAAGAAAUGUUGAAACUCAAAAUACAUAUAAUGGUAACAUCGUUGCUAAAAUCCCAUUAACUGGAGUGGACAGCCCAGAGGUAUUAAAUAGAUAGGAAGAUGAGCAAGGUCAUCGUCAAUCUCCUAGAUAGUCAAUAGUAACAAAUUCACUGGUAAUCUGGUAUUGCUGCCACAAGUGAUUAGAUACUUAGACUCCUAAACAUUCAGCAUAUUUAGCUUAAUCUGAGUUUAAUUAGGCUUUUUGAAGGGAGCCAGCCACAUUAGAGAAACUGAGAAAGAAGUCUAGUUACUACUGUUCAUAUUUGUAAUAACACGAGAAGAUCUUUGCUACUACACCAAGUGGUUAAUAAAUAAAUAUAAUUGUAUUAGUUCCAAAAUAUACCUUUUUUUAUGAUCAACAUGGGAAGGAACAUCAUUGUGGGAAACUGCAUAAUCAAUCGACCU